rnacentral:rRNA from 1 species
GUUGAAAGAUGGCUUCUCGCUAUCACUUACGGAUGGGCCCGCGGCGCAUUAGCUAGUUGGUGAGGUAACGGCUCACCAAGGCGACGAUGCGUAGCCGACCUGAGAGGGUGAUCGGCCACACUGGGACUGAGACACGGCCCAGACUCCUACGGGAGGCAGCAGUAGGGAAUCUUCCGCAAUGGACGAAAGUCUGACGGAGCAUCGCCGCGUGAACGAUGAAGGUCUUCGGAUCGUAAAGUUCUGUUGUCAGGGAAGAACAAGUGCCGUGCGAAUAGAGCGGCACCUUGACGGUACCUGACGAGGAAGCCCCGGCUAACUACGUGCCAGCAGCCGCGGUAAUACGUAGGGGGCAAGCGUUGUCCGGAAUUAUUGGGCGUAAAGCGCGCGCAGGCGGUUCCUUAAGUCUGAUGUGAAAGCCCACGGCUCAACCGUGGAGGGUCAUUGGAAACUGGGGAACUUGAGUGCAGAAGAGGAGAGUGGAAUUCCACGUGUAGCGGUGAAAUGCGUAGAUAUGUGGAGGAACACCAGUGGCGAAGGCGACUCUCUGGUCUGUAACUGACGCUGAGGCGCGGAAAGCGUGGGGAGCAAACCGGAUUAGAUACCCUGGUAGUCCACGCCGUAAACGAUGAGUGCUAGGUGUUAGGGGGGCUUCCACCCCUUAGUGCUG